AGAGUUUGAUCAUGGCUCAGAACGAACGCUGGCGGCAGGCCUCAAACAUGCAAGUCUAGGGGGUGUAGCAAUACAUCACCGGCGGACGGGUGCGUAACGCGUGGGAAUGUACCUAUUGGUUCGGAACAACUGAGGGAAACUUCAGCUAAUACCGGAUGAGCCCGAAAGGGGAAAGAUUUCUCGCCAAUGGAUCAGCCCGCGUCCGAUUAGCUAGUUGGUGGGGUAAUGGCCUACCAAGGCGACGAUCGGUAGCUGUUCUGAGAGGAAGAUCAGCCACACUGGGACUGAGACACGGCCCAGACUCCUACGGGAGGCAGCAGUUGGGAAUCUUGGACAAUGGGGGAAACCCUGAUCCAGCCAUGCCGCGUGAGUGAUGAAGGCCUUCGGGUUGUAAAACUCUUUCGACGGGGACGAUAAUGACGGUACCCGUAGAAGAAGCUCCGGCUAACUUCGUGCCAGCAGCCGCGGUAAUACGAAGGGGGCUAGCGUUGUUCGGAAUUACUGGGCGUAAAGCGCGCGCAGGCGGUCCUCCAAGUCAGUGGUGAAAGCCCGGAGCUCAACUCCGGAACUGCCAUUGAAACUGUUGGACUUGAGUACGAGAGAGGUGAGUGGAAUUCCCAGUGUAGAGGUGAAAUUCGUAGAUAUUGGGAAGAACACCGGUGGCGAAGGCGGCUCACUGGCUCGUAACUGACGCUCAGGCGCGACAGCGUGGGGAUCAAACAGGAUUAGAUACCCUAGUAGUCC
rnacentral:rRNA from 1 species